ACAGCAGUCGCCGCGGUAAUACAGAGGGUGCAAGCGUUAAUCGGAUUUACUGGGCGUAAAGGGCGCGUAGGUGGUUAUGUAAGUGAGAUGUGAAAUCCCCGGGCUCAACCUGGGAACUGCAUCUUAUACUGCGUAGCUGGAGUGCAGUAGAGGGUAGUGGAAUUUCCGGUGUAGCGGUGAAAUGCGUAGAUAUCGGAAGGAACACCAGUGGCGAAGGCGGCUACCUGGACUGACACUGACACUGAGGCGCGAAAGCGUGGGGAGCAAACAGGAUUAGAUACCCCUGUAGUCCCUGUCUCUUAUAC
rnacentral:rRNA from 1 species